ensembl:snRNA U6 U6 spliceosomal RNA
GUGCCGCUCGCUUUGGCAGCACAUAUACUAAAAUUGGAAUGAUACAGAGAAGAUUAGCAUGGCCCCUGUUCAAGGAUGACACACAAAUUCGUGAAGCGUUCCAUAUUUAA